CUGGUUUGAUACAGGUGACAUUGGAUUAAUGGAUUGUCAUGGUAACUUGUGGCUCCUUGGACGUACAAAUGGUCGCAUCAAGAGUGGCGGGGAGAACAUUUACCCUGAAGAGGUAAUAAAGUCGAGUAAGAUUAUAUAGGCAGUAAAACACUUGGAAGAUUUUUAGUGCUGGUGAAAGAAUAUGAUGUUUUAUUACAAAGUUUAAUCCUUCAAAAGGGAAACACAAGUGUUUUGUUAAAACAAAAUAAUUAUGUUAUGUUACACUAGACAUUUCUAGGAUAUAGAUUCCUUGCAUUAGAAUAUAACCUUCACUAAAAUAUCUUUAAACAAUCUACACCUUUGAUUUGAGAUUGGAUGACUAAGAUUAAUUAGUUAUGCAUUUAACGCGAGGCACCCGAAUCCACAUUUCUACUAAACAUGAACAUGUUAUUUGUUUGUAGGUUGAAGCAAUUCUACUUGAACAUCCAGGGAUUGCAAGAGUUGUUAUUGUGGGAAUACCAGAUGCACGUUUCACAGAAAUGGUAGCAGCAUGUAUCCAACCAAGAGAAAAUUGGCAAUGGUUAGAGCAUUCUACUUCAAAUGAAGAGUUUCACUUAUCUAGAAAGAAUCUUCAGCAAUACUGUCUGGAAAAUAAUUUAAGCAGGUUUGUAUCCAAACAAAAACUCAUGUUUGUUAAGCUUUUCAAUUAAAAUAAGUUACAGAUGUUACAUUUUUUUUUCUCCCUUCAGGUUUAAGAUACCAAAGAUAUUCAUUGAAUGGAGAAAGCCUUUUCCACUCACUACUACAGGAAAAAUAAGAAGAGACCAAGUCCGAAAGGAGGUUCUGUCUGAGAUACAAUCUUUGCAUAGUAAUCUCUGAUGGAAGUUUCUUUUUCCAAUCCUGUUUUCUAGAAAACUACGCAAAUUAUUUGGAAUUAUACUUUCAGAUAGAGGAAAAAAAGUUUUUCUGUCCAGAAAUAUAUUGUGAGGAAAACUAGUAUUUUUUUGGAAAGUAUAUUUCUAAAGUGACUGCACUCGCGGGAUAAAUCAAUUGAGUGCAUAUUUUUUUCUUUAAAACUUUGUAAUUGCAUGAUAUAAUUUUUAUAUAAAGAUUAUGCAAUAAAAUGAAUACUGAGAGGUAGUACUCCAAAUCAUCAAUUUUUCCUCAGGCAAUGGACUCCAAUCUUGGGUGAAACAAAUAGGCCUCAGAUGGAGACCAUAUUCUAUAGCCUUUUACACCAUUUCCUUACCCCAAAAUAAUCCUUUCUUAGAUCUAGGUUCAAGUUUACCCUCAUUAACAUGGUAAUAAGCAGGACAACCAAGAAUUUGAGUAAUUAGCAGGUUUAUUAGACCAUACCUCAAAUGGAGUCUUACAGUCUAUAGCAGUAGAGGGAGAACAUUUACCAGAUAACAUUUUGUGCUUAUAGCCUCUGCUUGGAAACUCCUAUUCAGCCCGGCAUUUGAAAACAUACAACGAGCUCUUUCCAAAAAGUUAUAUUCAUUCGCUCAGCAACACCAUUCUUUUGUGGAGUAUUUCUCACCGUAUAUUGCCUU
rnacentral:lncRNA from 1 species